UUAACAUAAUGAAACACUCUUCUAAUCAGCAAAAAGUAGCAUUAUAUACAUGGAUUGUCAUUCACAACAUUAAAAUUCAUAACAGAAAAGGAGACUUACAAAGAUUCACUUAAAAGAUGUUUCACUUAAAAGAAGAAUAGAUCAAACUCAUAAAAUCAUGAAAAUGAACUUCAGAUGCAUUUAUUCAAUCACUUUAUUCUUACAUUAUUCAAUUAUUACUAAAAUAAGUGAAUAAAUAGCUUUAAAUUAUACAGAAACAUAAUAUAAAUAUAGUGGUGAUCAAGCAUUUGUUCAAAAACACUAUUUAUACCAAUCUUACCUUUAUAAAGAAUUGUUCAGGGCUUGCAGAAUAACAUCAUGUUUAAUAAUUUCAAACUUCUUCCACAAGGGGUCAGCAUUACUCUCUCCAUUUAUGAGUAAUGAGUAUACAAUUUGACAUGAUACAAACAUUUAAAGAGCAACUCUAUGAGAUGAGCCCAAAGUUUUUGAAAGAGUUGAGUGAAUUUUCUGUUCUUUUACCUCAUAGAUCAACUAUGUUUAGAUGGGCUUUGAUUUCUCUGUGCUUCAUAGUACUUUAUGACGUGUCUUCGGGACAGGACAGAGUUGAACAGUCUUCAGAAGAAAUGAC